rnacentral:tRNA from 1 species
GCGGCUUUGGCGCAAUGGAAGCGCGUGGGAUUCCUAAUCCCAAGGUUGCGGUUAUUUAAUUUUGAACAGCCAUGUCUACG